UCUUCCCUGGCUGUCUGAGGAUAGACCGCCAUCAUGAACAACACAGUAACUAUCCGCACUGGCAAGUUCAUGACCAACCAACGACUUCAGAGGAAACAAAUGGCCAUUGAUGUCAUUCACCCUGGGAAGGUGACAGUGCCUAACACAGAAAUUUGGGAAAAACUAGCCAAAAUGUACAAGACCACACUGGACGUCAUCUUUGUAUUUGGAUUGAGAACUCAUUUUGGUGGUGGCAAGACAACUGGCUUUGGCAAGAUUUACGAUUCCCUGGAUUAUGCAAAGAAAAAUGAACCCAAACAUAGACUUGCAAGACAUGGCCUGUAUGAGAAGAAAAAGACCUCAAGAAAGCAACGAAAGGAACGCAAGAACAGAAUGAAAAAAGUAGGGGGACUGCAAAGGCCAAUGUUGGUGCUGGCAAAAAGCCGAAGGAGUAAAGGUGCUGCAAUGAUGUUAUCUGUGGCCGUUGUGGGUUUUUCACAAGAAGAUUAAUAAACUAAAAACUUC